rnacentral:lncRNA from 1 species
ACACUUUCACCACAAGUUCGUUUGGCACUUCAUAAAUUCAGAUAUGAUCUGAUACCCCCAAAUUCAAUCCUUCAAAUGACAUAUUCACACAAAAUACGCAAGUUAGCAAUCGGUAUUAAGGCAUUCGGCAUAAAUCCAAAAGAGAUCAGUUAAGCCAAAUAUAAAAAAACAACAUAAUUCAAUUGUACAAUAGAAAAUCGAGAUUUAACCAUUGAAAUAG